AUGCAACUUGCCAAGAGAAGGCACACUUCCGGUGAGAUUAUUUAGGGGCAGAUAAAGAAAUCCUAGAUUUGAGGCGUUAGAAAAUGAAGUUGGAAUGGUGCCAGUGAAUUCGUUAUCACCAAUAGAAAAAAUUCGGAGAUUUGGAAGAGAGUUUCCAAUGCUCAAGGGAAGAUUCCCUUGGAAUUGAUUAGAUGACACGUCUAAUUCCGUGAUCGAAGAAAGAUUGAAGACAGAGGGAGGGAUGGUACCUGAAAAUCCAUUUUCAAAAAUUGUUAAAGAUUGUAGACUGAUCAAUU
rnacentral:misc_RNA from 1 species